rnacentral:tRNA from 1 species
AGAGCCUUGGCCGAGACUUCCCUUACAAGGAAGAAGUCGGCGGUUCGAGUCCGUCAACGCCCA